UACGAAGGGGGCUAGCGUUGCUCGGAAUCACUGGGCGUAAAGGGCGCGUAGGCGGCCAUUCAAGUCAGGGGUGAAAGCCCGAGGCUCAACCUCGGAACUGCCUUUGAUACUGUUUGGCUUGAGACCGGUAGAGGUAAGUGGAACUGCGAGUGUAGAGGUGAAAUUCGUAGAUAUUCGCAAGAACACCAGUGGCGAAGGCGGCUUACUGGACCGGUUCUGACGCUGAGGCGCGAAAGCGUGGGGAGCAAACAGG
rnacentral:rRNA from 1 species